rnacentral:rRNA from 1 species
CAGCAGCCACGGUAAUACGAAGGGUGCAAGCGUUACUCGGAAUUACUGGGCGUAAAGCGUGCGUAGGUGGUGGUUUAAGUCCGUCGUGAAAGCCCUGGGCUCAACCUGGGAAUUGCAGUGGAUACUAGAUCACUAGAGUGUGGUAGAGGAUAGUGGAAUUUCCGGUGUAGCAGUGAAAUGCGUAGAGAUCGGAAGGAACAUCUGUGGCGAAGGCGACUAUCUGGGCCAACACUGACACUGAGGCACGAAAGCGUGGGGAGCAAACAGGAUUAGAUACCCCUGUAGUCCCUGUCUCUUAUAC